rnacentral:rRNA from 1 species
CCUACGGGAGUCAGCAGUGAGGAAUAUUGGUCAAUGGACGCAAGUCUGAACCAGCCAUGCCGCGUGCAGGAAGACGGCUCUAUGAGUUGUAAACUGCUUUUGUACGAGGGUAAACGCAGAUACGCGUAUCUGUCUGAAAGUAUCGUACGAAUAAGGAUCGGCUAACUCCGUGCCAGCCGCCGCGGUAAUACGGAGGAUUCAAGCGUUAUCCGGAUUUAUUGGGUUUAAAGGGUGCGUAGGCGGUCGGAUAAGUUAGAGGUGAAAUCCCGAGGCUCAACUUCGGAAUUGCCUCUGAUACUGUUCGGCUAGAGAGUAGUUGCGGUAGGCGGAAUGUAUGGUGUAGCGGUGAAAUGCUUAGAGAUCAUACAGAACACCGAUUGCGAAGGCAGCUUACCAAGCUACUUCUGACGUUGAGGCACGAAAGCGUGGGGAGCAAACAGGAUUAGAUACCCCAGUAGUC